rnacentral:rRNA from 1 species
AACGAACGCUGGCGGCAGGCCUAACACAUGCAAGUCGAGCGAGGACUUCGGUUCUAGCGGCGGACGGGUGAGUAACGCGUGGGAAUGUGCCCUUCUCUACGGAAUAGCCCUGGGAAACUGGGAGUAAUACCGUAUACGCCCUAUUGGGGAAAGAUUUAUCGGAGAAGGAUCAGCCCGCGUUGGAUUAGGUAGUUGGUGGGGUAAUGGCCUACCAAGCCGACGAUCCAUAGCUGGUUUGAGAGGGUGAUCAGCCACACUGGGACUGAGACACGGCCCAGACUCCUACGGGAGGCAGCAGUGGGGAAUCUUAGACAAUGGGGGCAACCCUGAUCUAGCCAUGCCGCGUGAGUGAUGAAGGCCUUAGGGUUGUAAAGCUCUUUCAGCUGGGAAGAUAAUGACGGUACCAGCAGAAGAAGCCCCGGCUAACUCCGUG